rnacentral:rRNA from 1 species
UAGGGAAUCUUCCACAAUGGACGCAAGUCUGAUGGAGCAACGCCGCGUGAGUGAAGAAGGUUUUCGGACCGUAAAGCUCUGUUGUUGGUGAAGAAGGAUAGAGGUAGUAACUGGCCUUUAUUUGACGGUAAUCAACCAGAAAGUCACGGCUAACUACGUGCCAGCAGCCGCGGUAAUACGUAGGUGGCAAGCGUUGUCCGGAUUUAUUGGGCGUAAAGCGAGCGCAGGCGGAAGAAUAAGUCUGAUGUGAAAGCCCUCGGCUUAACCGAGGAAUUGCAUCGGAAACUGUUUUCUUGAGUGCAGAAGAGGAGAGUAGAACUCCAUGUGUAGCGGUGGAAUGCGUAGAUAUAUGGAAGAAUACCAGUGGCGAAGGCGGCUCUCUGGUCUGCAACUGACGCUGAGGCUCGAAAGCAUGGGUAGCGAACAGGAUUAGAUACCCUGGUAGUCCAUGCCGUAAACGAUGAGUGCUAAGUGUUGGGAGGCUUCCGCCUCUCAGUGCUGCAGCUAACGCAUUAAGCACU